rnacentral:rRNA from 1 species
GACGAACGCUGGCGGCGUGCCUAAUACAUGCAAGUAGAACGCUGAAGAGAGGAGCUUGCUCUUCUUGGAUGAGUUGCGAACGGGUGAGUAACGCGUAGGUAACCUGCCUUGUAGCGGGGGAUAACUAUUGGAAACGAUAGCUAAUACCGCAUAACAAUGGAUGACACAUGUCAUUUAUUUGAAAGGGGCAAUUGCUCCACUACAAGAUGGACCUGCGUUGUAUUAGCUAGUAGGUGAGGUAACGGCUCACCUAGGCGACGAUACAUAGCCGACCUGAGAGGGUGAUCGGCCACACUGGGACUGAGACAAGGCCCAGACUCCUACGGGAGGCAGCAGUAGGGAAUCUUCGGCAAUGGGGGCAACCCUGACCGAGCAACGCCGCGUGAGUGAAGAAGGUUUUCGGAUCGUAAAGCUCUGUUGUAAGUCAAGAACGAGUGUGAGAGUGGAAAGUUUACACUGUGACGGUAGCUUACCAGAAAGGGACGGCUAACUACGUG